rnacentral:rRNA from 1 species
UGGGUAACCUGCCUCAUAGAGUGGAAUAGCCUUCCGAAAGGAAGAUUAAUACCGCAUAACGUUGAAAGAUGGCAUCAUCAUUCAACCAAAGGAGCAAUCCGCUAUGAGAUGGACCCGCGGCGCAUUAGCUAGUUGGUGGGGUAACGGCCUACCAAGGCGACGAUGCGUAGCCGACCUGAGAGGGUGAUCGGCCACAUUGGGACUGAGACACGGCCCAG